UACGUAGGGGGCUAGCGUUGCUCGGAUUUACUGGGCGUAAAGGGCUCGUAGGCGGCGCUUUUAGUCAGGCGUGAAAUUCCUGGGCUCAACCUGGGGACUGCGCUUGAUACGGCAGAGCUUGAGGAUGGAAGAGGGUCGCGGAAUUCCCAGUGUAGAGGUGAAAUUCGUAGAUAUUGGGAAGAACACCGGUGGCGAAGGCGGCGACCUGGUCCAUUACUGACGCUGAGGCGCGAAAGCGUGGGGAGCAAACAGG
rnacentral:rRNA from 1 species